rnacentral:rRNA from 1 species
UGGGUAACCUGCCUUAUAGUGGGGGAGUAGCCUUUCGAAAGGAAGAUUAAUACCGCAUAAGAUUGUAGUAUCGCAUGAUAUAGCAAUUAAAGGAGCAAUCCGCUAUAAGAUGGACCCGCGUCGCAUUAGCUAGUUGGUGAGGUAAUGGCUCACCAAGGCGACGAUGCGUAGCCGACCUGAGAGGGUGAUCGGCCACAUUGGGACUGAGACACGGCCCAGACUCCUACGGGAGGCAGCAUG